rnacentral:lncRNA from 1 species
UUUCCUUUAAUUCAUUUAUACUUUUAUAGUGACAAAGAAGCUGAGCCAAAUGUGUGGGGUUCAAAAUCAUUAUCACCUUGAAUAUUCAGUAAUACGAAUUACCCAGCACUGAAUUCUCGGGCAAGUCGGAUCUCACAGAUGGGCUCACACCCAGACUCUAUUCUGACCCGGCGUUGUCGUUUUGGAUGACCGGCGCCUUGACCUCCGGCACUCUAACGGACCUCGUUUUCUUCUCAUGACUCUGGUCGACCCGUUUGUCUCUCUCGGGUACGAUCCGAACCCGAUUCAGAAACGGUUGCUCCGGUCUCCUCGCCGGAGAUUUCGUCACUCCUCGACUUCUUCGGGAAAAAAAUACUCAGGCGAAGUGGGUAGCUCGUAAAGCUUGUGAAUUGGGGUGUUGAGGGCUUGUUUUUGUUGGAAUUUGCCAUUGAUUUCCGUAAGGAUUUUGAGAUUUUAGAAGAUGGGGCUGAUUUGGUUUGUGAUGAGAGAGAGGACUUCUGGGGAUGACUUUACUAUUCUACCCUUGCCUUUUUUUUUUUUUUUUGAUUUAACGGUCCAAAUUAACGGACUUUGACGGCAGCCACCUUAUUAAAAGGCGGAGGUAAAGUCCAG